rnacentral:rRNA from 1 species
CCUACGGGAGGCAGCAGUGGGGAAUAUUGCACAAUGGGCGAAAGCCUGAUGCAGCAACGCCGCGUGAGGGAUGAAGGCCUUCGGGUUGUAAACCUCUUUUAGUUGGGAAGAAGCGAAAGUGACGGUACCAACAGAAAAAGCACCGGCUAACUACGUGCCAGCAGCCGCGGUAAUACGUAGGGUGCAAGCGUUGUCCGGAAUUAUUGGGCGUAAAGAGCUCGUAGGCGGUUUGUCGCGUCUGCUGUGAAAAUCCGAGGCUCAACCUCGGACCUGCAGUGGGUACGGGCAAACUAGAGUGCGGUAGGGGAGAAGGGAAUUCCUGGUGUAGCGGUGGAAUGCGCAGAUAUCAGGAGGAACACCGAUGGCGAAGGCACUUCUCUGGGCCGUAACUGACGCUGAGGAGCGAAAGCGUGGGGAGCGAACAGGAUUAGAUACCCUGGUAGUCCACGCCGUAAACGGUGGGUGCUAGUUGUGGGCCACAUUCCACGUGGUCCGUGACGCAGCUAACGCAUUAAGCACCCCGCCUGGGGAGUACGGUCGCAAGACUAAAACUCAAAUGAAUUGACGG